CCUACGGGUGGCAGCAGUGAGGAAUAUUGGUCAAUGGACGAGAGUCUGAACCAGCCAAGUAGCGUGAAGGAAGACUGCCCUAUGGGUUGUAAACUUCUUUUAUAUGGGAAUAAAAUGUUCCACGUGUGGGAUUUCGUAUGUACCCUAUGAAUAAGGAUCGGCUAACUCCGUGCCAGCAGCCGCGGUAAUACGGAGGAUCCGAGCGGUAGUCGGAUUUAUUGGGUUUAAAGGGUGCGUAGGUGGGUUGUUAAGUCAAUUGUGAAAGUUUGCGGCUCAAACGUAAAAUUGCAGUUGAAACUGGCAGUCUGGAGUACAGUAGAGGUCGGCGGAAUUCGUGGUGUAGCGGUGAAAUGCUUAGAUAUCACGAAGAACUCCGAUUGCGAAGGCAGUUCACUGGACUGCAACUGACACUGAUGCUCGAAAGUGUGGGUAUCAAACAGGAUUAGAUACCCCGGUAGUC
rnacentral:rRNA from 1 species